CGCGCAGGCGGUCCUUCAAGUCAGAGGUGAAAGCCCAGGGCUCAACCCUGGAAUGGCCUUUGAGACUAGAGGACUUGGGUACGGGAGAGGUGAGUGGAAUUCCGAGUGUAGAGGUGAAAUUCGUAGAUAUUCGGAAGAACACCAGUGGCGAAGGCGGCUCACUGGCCCGUUACCGACGCUCAGGCGCGACAGCGUGGGGAGCAAACA
rnacentral:rRNA from 1 species